rnacentral:rRNA from 1 species
GAUGAACGCUGGCGGCGUGCCUAAUACAUGCAAGUCGAGCGAACAGACGAGGAGCUUGCUCCUCUGACGUUAGCGGCGGACGUGUGAGUAACACGUGGAUAACCUACCUAUAAGACUGUGAUAACUUCGGGAAACCGGAGCUAAUACCGGAUAAUAUAUUGAACCGCAUGGUUCAAUAGUGAAAGACGGUUUUGCUGUCACUUAUAGAUGGAUCCGCGCCGCAUUAGCUAGUUGGUAAGGUAACGGCUUACCAAGCCAACGAUGCGUAGCCGACCUGAGAGGAUGAUCAGCCACACUGGGACUGAGACACGGCCCAGACUCCUACGGGAGGCAGCAGUAGGGAAUCUUCCGCAAUGGGCGAAAGCCUGACCCAGCAACGCCGCGUGAAGGAUGAAGGUCUUCGGAUCGUAAACCUCUGUUAUUAGGGACGAACAAAUGUGUAAGUAUCUAUGCACGUAUUGACGGUACCGUAUCAGAAAGCCACGGCUAACUACGUG